AACGAAUUGAGUUUGAUGGUGGCUCUGAAUGAACGCUAUCUCAAGUGCUUGACACAUGCUAAUCUUACGUCUAAUUUAAAUAUUAACCAAAACCAAUGGAUAAAUUAUCUAAUUUACACCUGGGUAAUAUAUUUAUAGUGGGGGUUUUUUUAUUAGAAGUGGUGUACAGGUGAGUAAAUGAUAUUUUGGCUACCUUAAAGUGAGGUUUAAAAAUGCCUUGAGGAAAAAAAUUCCGCUUUUAAGAGGACAAUGAAUAUUUCGGAUAGGUAGUCGAUAAAGUAAUUUUUUUAUCGAGCUUAUAAUUCCGUAAUCGUAACUGAGAGGUUGAUCGAUCACAUUGGGUCUGAAAAAAGCCCAAUACGUAUAGUACAGCAGUGGGGAAUAUUGGUCAAUAGCCGUCAGGCUGAACCAGCAACUUGGGAGUAUGUAUAGCUUUUAACUAAGACUAAUAUCACGUACUAAUGGUGUGUAUAAACCAUUUAUACGGUAGAGAGAAAUAACUCUACAAGACCAUAAGAAGGUGGGCUGGCCCAGCAAUGGGUAGGUGCCAACUCGAUACCCGUAAGGGGGACGGGGGUAAAUCACGAGUACGUGAGGACCCGGCUAAGCGGAAAACAUCUUUUUCUAGGCGUAAGGGGAAUUAUAUUUUUCGAGUCGUCUUCUUAAGAGGGUGUUUAAACAAUUUAAUAUAGUCGUUGCCUACAAACACUAAUAUAAAUUGGAAUAAACUUUACUUUGAUAUAUCGAUUUACUCGAAUAAAAUACUAGGUAGUAAAAUAUCUUAAUGUAAAGGGUUAAGAUUUCUCUAAUAUAGGAAUUACGAAUUGAUUAUGACCUUAAGCUAUCUACAAGUCUUGACCAAAAUACGUGCCAGCAGUCGCGGUAAUACGUAAAAGACUAGUGUUAUUCAUCUUUACCAGGUUUAAAGGGUACCUAGACGGUAAAAAUCGUCGUAAAGAUACGAUUAUACUAGAGUUAUAUAUAAGGAGGUGAGUAUUUAUGGAGUGUGAGAGUUGAAAUUUGUUCAUACCAUAAGGACUGGUAAAGGCGAA
rnacentral:ncRNA from 1 species